GGCGUAGUCAAGCCGGUGGCACCUCCCUGUCACACAUGUGACAGAUGUGACCACGGUCAUUGGGUGUGUGACCCGAUCGAAUGUCAAGAUGACCAGUGCGUUGACGGCUACUUCACAGAGACCAAUAAGUGCUGCCUGACUUGUCCAAACGGCGAGAACUGCAAAUUCAUUGACGUCAUCAUUCCCAAAAAUAAAACUAUUUCCGUGGGCGGCGGCAUAUGCGCCUGCGUCGAAAGUGAGGACGGGACAGGAGCCUUGGUAGCCAAGUGCAUGUGACGGAGCAACAGCGAGAUGGUGCUCUGAUGCAAUCUGCGAGCAAAUGAAAUACAUUAAAUGUAGAUGUGUUUACCUAA
rnacentral:sRNA from 1 species